GACGAACGCUGGCGGCGUGCUUAACACAUGCAAGUCGAACGGAAAGGCCCUGCUUGCAGGGUACUCGAGUGGCGAACGGGUGAGUAACACGUGGGUGAUCUGCCCUGCACUUCGGGAUAAGCCUGGGAAACUGGGUCUAAUACCGGAUAGGAGCCAUUUUUAGUGUGAUGGUUGGAAAGUUUUUUCGGUGUAGGAUGAGCUCGCGGCCUAUCAGCUUGUUGGUGGGGUAAUGGCCUACCAAGGCGGCGACGGGUAGCCGGCCUGGGAGGGUGGACGGCCACAUUGGGACUGAGAUACGGCCCAGACUCCUACGGGGGGCAGCAGUGGGGAAAAUUGCACAAUGGGCGCAAGCCUGAUGCAGCGACGCCGCGUGGGGGAUGACGGCCUUCGGGUUGUAAACUCCUUUCGCUAGGGACGAAGCUUUUUGUGACGGUACCUAGAUAAGAAGCACCGGCUAACUACGUG
rnacentral:rRNA from 1 species